AGAAAUUUAAGUUAACAAACUAAAAGCCUUCAAAGCCUAGAGGAGAAGUUAAAACCUUCUAAUUUCUG
rnacentral:tRNA from 1 species